CGCACAAGCGGUGGAGCAUGUGGUUUAAUUCGAUGCAACGCGAAGAACCUUACCUGGUCUUGACAUCCACAGAACUUUCCAGAGAUGGAUUGGUGCCUUCGGGAACUGUGAGACAGGUGCUGCAUGGCUGUCGUCAGCUCGUGUUGUGAAAUGUUGGGUUAAGUCCCGCAACGAGCGCAACCCUUAUCCUUUGUUGCCAGCGGUUCGGCCGGGAACUCAAAGGAGACUGCCAGUGAUAAACUGGAGGAAGGUGGGGAUGACGUCAAGUCAUCAUGGCCCUUAC
rnacentral:rRNA from 1 species